GCGAACGGGUGAGUAACACGUGGGUGAUCUGCCCUGCACUUCGGGAUAAGCUUGGGAAACUGGGUCUAAUACCGGAUAGGACUACGGCCUGCAUGGGUUGUGGUGGAAAGCUUUUGCGGUGUGGGAUGGGCCCGCGGCCUAUCAGCUUGUUGGUGGGGUGAUGGCCUACCAAGGCGGUGACGGGUAGCCGGCCUGAGAGGGCGACCGGCCACACUGGGACUGAGACACGGCCCAGACUCCUGCGGGAGGCAGCAGUGGGGAAUAUUGCACAAUGGGCGAAAGCCUGAUGCAGCGACGCCGCGUGAGGGAUGACGGCCUUCGGGUUGUAAACCUCUUUCAGCAGGGACCAAGCGUGAGUGAGUGUACCUGCAGAAGAAGCACCGGCUAACUACGUGCCAGCAGCCGCGGUAAUACGUAGGGUGCGAGCGUUGUCCGGAUUUAUUGGGCGUAAAGGGCUCGUAGGCGGCCUGUCGCGUCGGGAGUGAAAGCCCACUGCUUAACGGUGGGUCUGCUUUCGGUACGGGCGGGCUAGAGUAUGGCAGGGGAGACUGGAAUUCCUGGUGUAGCGGUGGAAUGCGCAGAUAUCAGGAGGAACACCGGUGGCGAAGGCGGGUCUCUGGGCCAUUACUGACGCUGAGGAGCGAAAGCGUGGGGAGCGAACAGGAUUAGAUACCCUGGUAGUCCACGCCGUAAACGUUGGGAACUAGGUGUGGGUCACAUUCCACGUGGUCCGCGCCGCAGCUAACGCAUUA
rnacentral:rRNA from 1 species